rnacentral:rRNA from 1 species
AGUGAACGCUGGCGGUAGGCCUAACACAUGCAAGUCGAACGGCAGCACAGGAGAGCUUGCUCCCUGGGUGGCGAGUGGCGGACGGGUGAGGAAUACAUCGGAAUCUACUCUGUCGUGGGGGAUAACGUAGGGAAACUUACGCUAAUACCGCAUACGACCUACGGGUGAAAGCAGGGGAUCUUCGGACCUUGCGCGAUUGAAUGAGCCGAUGUCGGAUUAGCUAGUUGGCGGGGUAAAGGCCCACCAAGGCGACGAUCCGUAGCUGGUCUGAGAGGAUGAGAAGCCACACUGGAACUGGGACACGGUCCAGACUCCUACGGGAGGCAGCAGUGGGGAAUAUUGGACAAUGGGCGCAAGCCUGAUCCAGCCAUACCGCGUGGGUGAAGAAGGCCUUCGGGUUGUAAAGCCCUUUUGUUGGGAAAGAAAUCCAGCUGGCUAAUACCCGGUUGGGAUGACGGUACCCAAAGAAUAAGCACCGGCUAACUUCGUGCCAGCAGCCGCCGCGG